AGCGGCGGACGGGUGAGUAACGCGUGGGUAACCUGCCCUGUACACACGGAUAACAUACCGAAAGGUAUGCUAAUACGGGAUAACAUAAGAAAGUCGCAUGGCUUUCUUAUCAAAGCUUUUGCGGUACAGGAUGGACCCGCGUCUGAUUAGCUAGUUGGUAAGGUAACGGCUUACCAAGGCGACGAUCAGUAGCCGACCUGAGAGGGUGAUCGGCCACAUUGGAACUGAGACACGGUCCAAACUCCUACGGGAGGCAGCAGUGGGGAAUAUUGCACAAUGGGCGAAAGCCUGAUGCAGCAACGCCGCGUGAGCGAUGAAGGCCUUCGGGUCGUAAAGCUCUGUCCUCAAGGAAGAUAAUGACGGUACUUGAGGAGGAAGCCCCGGCUAACUACGUGCCAGCAGCCGCGGUAAUACGUAGGGGGCUAGCGUUAUCCGGAAUUACUGGGCGUAAAGGGUGCGUAGGCGGUCUUUCAAGUCAGAAGUGAAAGGCUACGGCUCAACCGUAGUAAGCUUUUGAAACUGUAAGACUUGAGUGCAGGAGAGGAGAGUGGAAUUCCUAGUGUAGCGGUGAAAUGCGUAGAUAUUAGGAGGAACACCAGUUGCGAAGGCGGCUCUCUGGACUGUAACUGACGCUGAGGCACGAAAGCGUGGGGAGCAAAC
rnacentral:rRNA from 1 species